CUGCUCCGCCUUAUACAUCUUGUAGACGAAACCGCCGGCGGCCGGAGUUUGCGAUUUGUCGACUACGGAGACGGACCACAAACGCAAUAGGAUCCAGAUGGAGAAUUUAAGGAACAAGGUUGCUGAA